UACGGUAGGGGGCGAGCGUUGUCCGAAGUUACUGGGCGUAAAGAGUACGUAGGUGGCUUGUUAAGAUACAUCUGAAAGGUGACAGCUCAACUGUCAAUGGUGGUGUAAGACUGGCAGGCUUGAGGCAAGCAGAAGAGUGUGGAACUCCGAGUGUAGCGGUGGAAUGCGUAGAGAUUCGGAAGAACACCCAUGGCGAAGGCAGCACUCUGGGCUUGAACCGCAAGGUGAACCUGACACUGAGGUACGAAAGCCAGGGGAGCGAACGGG
rnacentral:rRNA from 1 species